UACAGAGGUCUCAAGCGUUGUUCGGAUUCAUUGGGCGUAAAGGGUGCGUAGGUGCGGCGCGUAAGUCGGGUGUGAAAUUUCGGAGCUUAACUCCGAAACUGCAUUCGAUACUGGCGUGCUUGAGGACUGGAGAGGAGACUGGAAUUUACGGUGUAGCAGUGAAAUGCGUAGAUAUCGUAAGGAAGACCAGUGGCGAAGGCGGGUCUCUGGACAGUUCCUGACACUGAGACACGAAGGCCAGGGGAGCAAACGGG
rnacentral:rRNA from 1 species